rnacentral:rRNA from 1 species
GUGGGGAAUAUUGGACAAUGGGCGAAAGCCUGAUCCAGCCAUGCCGCGUGUGUGAAGAAGGUCUUCGGAUCGUAAAGCACUUUAAGUUGGGAGGAAGGGCAGUAAGUUAAUACCUUGCUGUUUUGACGUUACCGACAGAAUAAGCACCGGCUAACUUCGUGCCAGCAGCCGCGGUAAUACGAAGGGUGCAAGCGUUAAUCGGAAUUACUGGGCGUAAAGCGCGCGUAGGUGGUUCAGCAAGUUGAAGGUGAAUUCCCCGGGCUCAACCUGGGAACUGCCUCCAAAACUACUGAGCUAGAGUACGGUAGAGGGUAGUGGAAUUUCCUGUGUAGCGGUGAAAUGCGUAGAUAUAGGAAGGAACACCAGUGGCGAAGGCGACUACCUGGACUGAUACUGACACUGAGGUGCGAAAGCGUGGGGAGCAAACAGGAUUAGAAACCCGAGUAGUCC